rnacentral:misc_RNA from 1 species
AACGCACAUUGCGCCCAUUAGUAUUCUAGUGGGCAUGCCUGUUCGAGCGUCAUUUCAACCCUUAAGCCCAUGUUGCUUAGCGUUGAGGGCCUACGCCACGUAGCCCUCGAAAUUCAGUGGCGGAGCUGGAUUCAUGCUCUAGACGUAGUAAAUUUAUCUCGUCUGCAGCUGAGCUUGACUCCCGCCGUAAAAACCCCUAUUCUCAAGGUUGACCUCGGAUCAGGUAGGAAUACCCGCUGAACUUAA